UGAGAUACACAGCCCCUGUAUGCAUCAGCAAACAUCUGGAACGCAGCCACAUCUGAAUGAACAUCUUAUUAAAUGACUCUCCGGGACACAUUCAAACAGCUAAACUGUGAGUCCCAAUAAAGGCCUUUUGCUUUUGAAGACUGAAGGGCUUCUGCUGUAGAUGCGAGGACCAGGGUUGGAAAACAUGGCCUUGUGGCAACUUUUUUGACAUUCGUGUCAAAGCAAUUCAAAGGGACCAACAUUCCAGGAUUGAGAAACUCCUGUGUGAUAAGAUAUUGUAUCUUUUUCUCCUAGAAAUGCCAACACGGUAUUCCUGCGGUUUUGUUUGAACUCAGCUGACUGCAAAAGUUGUUAGUUAUAUUUGAUCAGGGUGUGUAUUGCCUGAUUUCAUCGCUUGAACAGUUACAGAAAUAUGUGCUCAGUUAAAUGCAUGCGUCAGUGGGAUGAAGUAAAACGCCGCAUCAUAUCUUACAUUGGAUUAACACCGCGAGCGAAGUGGAUGAAGCUCAUGAAAAGGUGAAUGGAUGCUGGUGUGUAAUACCGUAGAACUAGUUCACACAACAUGCGGCAAAAGAGGUUUGUAGGAUUGUCAUAUAUGGGAGAAAUAUGGGUUCAGGGUUGUAAACGUUUGUAAUAAUCUCAGGUCAGAGUCACCCGGGAGUGAGUCACAUCAUCUUAGGCAGGGUUUUCCAAGCCUCGGGGCGUUUUCUUCACAUGGAUUGACUAACAGUUUCUAAAGACAAAAACUGGUCAUUUUCUGGUCAGACAGCAGGGGUUUAAAUCUAUUAUUUGUUUAGUAAAUGAUUCUUACAUGCACGUAAGUUACAGUGUUAAAUAGCUGGGCUUGCCAAAAACGAUAGGAUUAUUUAAGGGGUCCAAAUGACGUUACUAAUUACUACUAAGUUGCUAAAUCUUUCAUUUUAGGCUAUUUAAGUUAGUUAAUUUUUUUAAUGAAAUAGUAGAAAACUGAUUAUAUAAAAAGCAUGUUAUACGUCAUACUUUUUAUGAUUAUAUAAUUGCUGGACAAACCAAAAUUAGCACACUAUUUUAAGGGUUUUAUGAAUCUAAUGAAGAGGGUUUGUGAUUGUAAUGCCUUGAGAAAAAUCUCAAUCAAAUCUCGAGAAACCAAACCAAUUAAAAAGACACGUCGCUGAGUUGCGACGAUCAUUCACACCCAUGACAAUCCACUUCUAUAAACAAACACGCACAAAAAAGUGGGGCAGAAGUAAUUUUAUCCGGGCACAGAAUAUGAAUAAAAAUUUGCUGCUCCACUUCCUUUUCUGACUCGUCCCAGUUCCGUGUUUGUUUUGUGCUUUAUAGCAAACUGGUUUUAGCGUGUGUGCUGCGAGCUGCUCGUUUUUGAAGUGAAACUGCCCAAGCACACAUGAUUUUAUUCCCUGUGAAUUUUUUCAGCUAAAUGCCAAACAAGCAGGCUUCAGUAAUGAGAGACACAUGUUCAGGCCUGCAGUGCAUUGGCAGGACGCAGGGAGAAAAGCACAGACUUAGAUUGGUUCCUCCCUUGUUUGUGUUUUUAGCGCACAUUCUUUAAAAUGACAAUCGGGGAACAAUUUAUGGGCUAAAGACUUUCCAUUUUUAUGCAAUCCAAACUAGUAGUAUUGAAUAAUUACAAUAUAUUUAUAUGUCAUGGCACUCGUGUGAUACUCCAGGGUACUCAAAUAUACUGUCCACAAGAUACACUAUUGCUUUUUAGUAACAUGCUAUGGUUUUUAUCGAUAUUAAAAAUGUA